rnacentral:rRNA from 1 species
UACAGAGGUCUCAAGCGUUGUUCGGAUUCAUUGGGCGUAAAGGGUGCGUAGGCGGCGCGGUAAGUCGGGUGUGAAAUCUCGGAGCUUAACUCCGAAACUGCAUUCGAUACUGCCGUGCUUGAGGACUGGAGAGGAGACUGGAAUUCCCGGUGUAGCGGUGAAAUGCGCAGAUAUCGGGAGGAAUACCAGUGGCGAAGGCGGCUUCUUGGCCUGUUCUUGACGCUGAGGCGCGAAAGCUGGGGGAGCAAACGGGG